CCCUCACAUGGCCUAUGCUUCCCAAAGCCCUGGGCACCACACCAAGCUGUCUCAGGAAGAGGAAGAAGCCAGAGGGGACCGAGGUACCAGGUGGCACCUGGGAGGGGUCAGCUCAGGGGCUACCACCUGCCACCCCAAUGACACUCCUCACAUGGCCACACCUACUUGGCAGCAGCCUUUGAUCUCUCACGUACACAUUUGAAAUGAGGAACAGUGUGACCAGGCUCCAGGGAAAAGAAGACAACAUGGAAACCUGAGAAUUGCUGGCUGGGGCUGUGCCUGGAAAGAGAUUUGGGCAGGGUUCUGGGGACUGAAUUUACUCCGGUUCCUGAAGUGUGGAAAAAGUAAACACAGUUUUGUUUGGAUUCCACCCUUCAGUUUCUCCAGACUAAGACACAGCAAAAUGCCAGAAAGUGACCCCAAAGAAAAUAAUUGUUUUGGGGCAUGAAAAUAAUGAACGGCAUGAGAAUGUUAAUGGUAAUGAAAUGCAAAAGCAACAACAACAACAACAACAAAACCCUAGAGAUUGUAUAAUUAAAGAGAUUACAAAGGAAA